GACGAACGCUGACGGCGUGCUUAACACAUGCAAGUCGAACGGUGAAGCGCCUUCCUUUUUGGUGGGUGUGGAUGAGUGGCGAACGGGUGAGUAACACGUGAGUAACCUGCCCCCUUCUUCUGGAUAACCGCAUGAAAGUGUGGCUAAUACGGGAUAUUCUGGGUCUGUCGCAUGAUGGGUCUGGGAAAGAUAUUGUUUCGGUGGGGGAUGGGCUCGCGGCCUAUCAGCUUGUUGGUGGGGUGAUGGCCUACCAAGGCGGUGACGGGUAGCCGGCCUGAGAGGGUGGACGGUCACACUGGGACUGAGACACGGCCCAGACUCCUACGGGAGGCAGCAGUGGGGAAUAUUGCACUAUGGGCGCAAGCCUGAUGCAGCGACGCCGCGUGAGGGAUGGAGGCCUUCGGGUUGUGAACCUCUUUCGCCAGUGAAGCAGGCCUGCCUCGUUUGUGGGUGGGUUGACGGUAGCUGGAUAAGAAGCGCCGGCUAACUACGUG
rnacentral:rRNA from 1 species